rnacentral:rRNA from 1 species
AUAUUACUAAGCGGAGGAAAAGAAAUUAACUAAGAUUGCCUCGGUAGCGGCGGGCGAAGCGGCAAUAGCUCAACUUUAAAUCUAAGAUCUUUGAUCUUCGAAUUGUAAUCUAAAGUAUGUGACAAAAACUUGAAUGAAAGAAUAAGUUCCUUGGAACAGGACACCAUAGAGGGUGACAGUCCCGUAUUUGUCUUUCUGAAAGGUGAAUGUCUAAUUACAUAGAGUCGGGUUGUUUGGGAUUGCAGCCCUAAAUGGGAGAUAAACUUCUUCUAAGGCUAAAUAUUUAUGAGAGACCGAUAGCGCACAAGUA